GCCCUUAUAGCUUAACGGAUAAAGCGGCGGUCUUCGGAACCGCAUAUGGGGGUUCAAUUCCUCCUGAGGGCA
rfam:Candidatus Roizmanbacteria bacterium RIFCSPHIGHO2_01_FTLL_39_8 rifcsphigho2_01_scaffold_33881, whole genome shotgun sequence.